rnacentral:ncRNA from 1 species
GACCCUCGAUCGUGACUCCCAGCCGCUUGCCCUGGCACACUUCCCCGGUGCCAGGUCGGAGCGGAUGGGGAUCAGGAUCGAGGGCC